UGAGAGGAGUAGCCCGGAGAUGGGUACUGAGACACGGACCCAGGCCUUAUGGGGCGCAGCAGGCGAGAAAACUUUGCAAUGUGCGAAAGCACGACAAGGUUAAUCCGAGUGGUUUCUGCUAAAGGAACCUUUUGUUAGUCCUAGAAACACUAACGAAUAAGGGGUGGGCAAGUUCUGGUGUCAGCCGCCGCGGUAAAACCAGCACCUCAAGUGGUCAGGAUGAUUAUUGGGCCUAAAGCAUCCGUAGCCGGCUCUGUAAGUUUUCGGUUAAAUCUGUACGCUCAACGUACAGGCUGCCGGGAAUACUGCAGAGCUAGGGAGUGGGAGAGGUAGACGGUACUCGGUAGGAAGGGGUAAAAUCCUUUGAUCUAUUGAUGACCACCUGUGGCGAAGGCGGUCUACCAGAACACGUCCGACGGUGAGGGAUGAAAGCUGGGGGAGCAAACCGGAUUAGAUACCCGGGUAGUCCCAGCUGUAAACUAUGCAAACUCAGUGAUGCAUUGGCUUGUGGCCAAUGCAGUGCUGCAGGGAAGCCGUUAAGUUUGCCGCCUGGGAAGUACGUACGCAAGUAUGAAA
rnacentral:rRNA from 1 species